rnacentral:lncRNA from 1 species
AAUUAUGUAUAUCAAACCUUGCUCAUUAGCUUUUUUCCAUAAGUCCAGAGUAUCUAUAGCAAUGUUGAAUAGAAUGGGAGACUCGGGAUCUAUUAUAACAUUAAUUCAUUCAUCUUCUUCAACAAGCAUAAGAGCACAGAACGCACAAACAUCAUCAUUGUUACAAGAUCCAAAGGAUCCAGAGCUAUCGGUCCACCACUCCGCCUGCGAAUUAAACAUAAAUCCUCAUUCUUCAGUCUAUGAAUAGGAAAUUAUUUAUGAAUUUAUGUCUAGAUGUUGAUGUGUGGUGUGUACAUGUGUUGAGUAACAGGGCAAUUUUACAAUGUAUUAAUUAUUAUGGCUCACAAACUGGACAAAGCAGAGGGAAGGGGAAACCAAUACCACUGCAAUUCAUUAUAGUCAAUCUUCAGGAGAGCUACACAUGCUCAACAAGAAGUGCUUUAACAGAAAUAAUCCAUCGCAAGAAAGUAAGUAUCUUGUGAGACAUCUACCUUUGAAAGUAAGUAUCUUGGGCUCCCAACUCCAGAAGGUAGAAUGAAAGAUGAAAACUUUCAACCAGUCAUGGACAGAUUUUUGAAGAGAUGCAAUGAUUGGGCUGGGAGGCAUAUGUCGUUUGCAGCUAAGGAGGUGCAUGUAAAGUCAAUAGUACAAGCCUUACCCACCUUUGUGAUGGGGCUUUUUAAGGGAUUUUGCGAUAAAUAUGAGCGCCUCAUCAGAGAAUUUUGGUGGGGUGAGGAUGAAGGACAAAGAAAGGUUCAUUGGAUGGCUUGGGGCCGUAUGAUAAAACCUAAGAGAUCAGGAGGUAUCGGUUUUCGGGAUAUGCAAAUUUUCAACCAAGCUCUCCUCGCGAGACAAAGAUGGCGCUUUCUCAAAAAAACGGACAGCUUGUGUGCAAGAGUUCUAAAAUCAAAGUACUACCCCAAGGGUUAGCUACUGGAUACGGUUUUUGCAUCCGACGCCUCCCAAGUUUGGAGGGGAAUAGAGCAUGGUCUGGAGCUAUUGAAAAAAGGCAUAAUCUGGAGAGUAGGCAAUGGGAAGAAAAUACAGCUCCAAGGGGACCAGUGGGUUCCUAGGAAAAGUGGUCUGAAGAUCAGUGUGUUCAAGAGGAGAUCAAGAAUUAGAUGGGUAAACCAGCUUAUGAAAACUGGAAGUAAAGAAUGGAACAAGCCCCUUAUCCAUCAACUCUUCCACGAAUAUGAUGCAGAAGAAAUUUGCAAGAUUAAAAUUCCUAGUAGAGAGGUGGAGGAUUGUAUAGCCUGGCAUGAAGAAAAAUCAGGUAUAUUCUCAGUCCGUAGUGCGUACAAAUUGGGUGCAAAUCUGAAACAGCAGGAAAGUUUGAGGGAGUCAAGCUCGGCUAAUGAUGCGGAUAACAGAAGUAUCUGGGAUUUUAUUUGGAAAGCGAAGCUCCCGGAAAAAAUACGAAUACUAGCAUGGAGAGUGACCACAAAAACCAUGUCCACAAAAGAAAAUAAGUGGAAGCGAUCAUUGGAGUUGGAUAAUAUAUGUAAUAUCUGUGGGAGUGAAACGGAGGAUGAAUAUCAUGCAGUAAUUAAGUGCACAAAAGCCCGAGCGCUGAGAGAGGAGUUGAGGAAACACUGGGAGUUACCGGUGGAGGACAAUUUUCAGUUUACUGGAGAUGAUUGGCUACAGAACUUGUUGGCUAAGUGUGAUACAGAAACAAGGAAAAAUAUCCUGCUGCUUAUAUGGCGCACCUGGUGGCUCCGAGACGAUUGUAUCCAUGCAGAGGGGAAGGCAACGAUUGGGCAUUCUGCCCAAUUUCUGGUUAAAUAUGCAGAAGAAAUAAGAGGUCAUGGGGCGGAGCUCACGGUACAACAGGCUGAUGUCCACCUGGUUGGUAGAUUGAAUGGGGUGGACAAGCGUCGAGCAGAAAUUAAUAGAGGAAAGCAGCUACAGGAUGGGGGCCUAUGCACACUUCAAUGGAAGCGUAAAGGUGACGGAAAUUCUGUAGCACAACCAGCAUCAGCGGUGUCCAACCCCAUGCAAACAAAUGGAAGCAAAUGGGUGCCACCUCCCAAGGGCAUCUGGAAGGCAAAUACUGAUGCGGCCUUCUUGUCGAGCACCGGGGAAACAGCCGCCGGAAUAAUAGUCAGAACGCACCUGGGUGUGGUGGCCCUCGCAGGGGGGAAGAGGAUGCAGGUAUGUAGCAGUGUGGAGGAAGCUGAAAUCAGUGCUGUUCUACAUGGGCUGUCAGUACUUAGCGAUUUCUACAGGGGGGCAAUCUAUGUGGAAUCGGACUGCGAAAAUGCGGUAGCAAUUCUGAAUAAUGAGAAAAGCAACAAAUCGCCUCUAUUUCCUCUGGUCUCCGAUGUGUGGCACCUAAAAUCAGUGUUCAAAGAGGUGAAGUUUACAACCGCAAGAAGACCCAGCAACAGAAUGGCGCAUGAGCUUGCUGCUAUGGCCAUGAAACAAGGAGAUUUUUUGUCAGUGGGAAGUGUUCCUCCGAACCUGAGUAGCAUCCUCAUGGAGGAUUGUAAUAUUUCUCUCCUCGUAACUUAAUUUGGGGCUGGGUGAUCCUAAAAAAAAACAAACAUUGCAAGCUCUCCUCGAUCCCUGCAUGCAGAUCAAACAAUAAAGCUUAGGCAAAGGUCAAAAGUGAAGAAGAUUGAACAGCAGUAAAACAAAGGAAGAUUGAACAUCAGGAAAACAAAGGAAGACUGAAGUACGAAAGCCCUGCUACAACCUUGAACUCACCUCAGCCAAAGCCUACACAGAAUGGUUGUAGCCUCAACGAUAUCCAAAGUUUUUAUACACUAAUACAAAUUUUGGUAUCAGUGGACUAAGGCCUACAAACAGAACCCCAUGGCAGUACACACAUACUAUAUUGCGGUCAAACCGUUGUAAUUGUUGGUUACUGUAAAGUAUGUAACAAAAAAACUGUUGUAGUUACCUUGCGAAAGAUCUCCGACACAGGACCAUCAUUUUUAGAUAUAGUUAGUUCUUGCUCCACUUUCUCGAGCCCUUUGUUUAUGGCCUGCAUUUCUUCUUCUAAAGACUCUAAUUAUAUCUGCAUUCAGCCAAAUAGUUCUCCAGUAACUCGAUCAAUGUAUCAUUGAUUGUCAAUAUCCAGAGUGGCCAAAACAUCAAAUACCACGUCAGAUCUAAUACCUUUGCUGCUAACUCCACGCUUGUCAAAUCUUUAUAGGGUAGUCAAGAAGUUCUGGAAGUUUCUCAGAAAGCACCUGCGGUGACAAGACAAAUUGAGUAAUUCAAGCAUAUCAACUGCAGUUCAGACUUCCAAGCUCUUCAUCACAAUGACAGGUUGGAGAGGCUAAGAUCCACUUCAAAAGUAUGAACCUCAUAAGACAGUAUCCUCAGAAAACUUAGAUCAAAGCUGCAUGGAAAAGGUGAGAAAAAUAAUAGAGAGAAAAUACAUGAACACAACCCAGCACACCGGAGAAAUUAAGUACGACACACGAAACUAGAUAUGCACCUCAAGUUAACUAAUUGCAUCAAUUGCAGGAUAAGCAAAAUAACUGGGAAAUGUUCCAUCAAGAUAACUUAAAUAUGAGUAGGCAACUUCCGGCGAGGUUCCUGUAAAGUGUAAAGUUAUUAGCUCUGUGUCGGAGAAUGAUGGUCCAGCUAACUAUAUCUGAAAAUGAUGGUCCUGUGUCGGAGAAUGAUGAGAACCUUAGAGAAUGAUUAUGCAGUAUCCAGUGGACAACAUGUUAUGCAAGCUUGCUACGUUAUGUGGUUAUUACGAUGGUAUUAUAGAAGCAAAGAUUUUAUAUGCACGACAUCCAAGGCUAGGUAAUGAUGAUUUUGACUGAGGUUUAUCCAUUAAAAUUGUUGGGUAACCCCGGAAUUUAAGAUUCCUAGGCAUGAUAUAACCAGUUAGUAGAUAUGAUUUGAACUUAUGUAUUCUGGAAUGGGAAAAAAUUCUACAUUUACUUUUUUAUUUUCUACAUUGUGGUUCGAACUUCUGUAUUUUAUAUGAUGCAGACCUAUAUAAAAACGUUUUCUGGCAAGGGAAAAAAAUUAGUAUUGAAACUAUAUACUUAUCCUGUUAUCCAUAUGAACAAAUGUAUACCUUGGAUAAAUAAUGCAUUAAGGUCAUCUUAUUGUUCACGGGUGUCUCUUAAUUUGAGUAAGCUAUCCAACCUGAAUCCAACAGCAGAACCUACAACAAACAAAACGAAAUGUGGUGCAGCCAGAAAAAAAAAGAAACAAAAAAUCAAAAGAAAUUAAAAAAUGCAUAUUGAAUUAUAAAAAAGCUAAUACAGUUUAGAUAAGAUGGUUAGCAUAAAAAACGUGCCAUCAUAUGGAAGUGUUGUAUUUCAAUUCUCUGGGACCUUGUGACACCCUGACUGUGGGCUGUCACCAUAUGAUUUGUAACCUGGGCUUGGGCUCCGUGAUGGGCCAUGUGUUGCUUUUGUGUUGGCUGGCUAGGAUCAGUAUAAAUACUACACCUGUAACCCUGAUGUGGAGAGGUUGAAAAGGAAUAGAGUCUGAACUCCCUCGCCUCCUGUUCUCUGCUCCUCACCUUCCCGGUUCUCUGUUUUCUCAUCUCUUUUCACUGAUUUCUCAUCCCAAUCUCUUCUUCAAUCGUGGUAAUCCACCGUAUCCCCCUGUUCACCGUGCAUCCAUCCCAGGGACAUGACAAUUUGGUAUUCAGAGCCAAUAAAACCUACAAAACAAUCACCACCCUCCUUCCUGCCCACCAUCUGUUCAACGAUAUGUCGAGCCACCUAGAGAUGUUCAUGUGUCUGGAGCAUAUAGUCUGGUGAAAGAAUCUGCCAUGUGGAGGUGGUGGUUCGGCUUCGAUCAAGACACGGGGCAGCGCAGGCUCUCACCUUGCAUGACCGGUGCCACCAAGCAGCAUGACGAUGCUUGCAACCAUGGAACUACUACCUUCCCAGCUAGGGUGUGCAACUUGGAGGUCGCCCAUGUGGCCUUCUCUACUCCAGCACCCCACGCGACGACAAAUGUGGCAAAGUUCGCCAGAGUUGAGUGUGAAGCCAUUGGUGACGAAGAAGUUGCUGAACUUACCACACCCAUCAGCUGCUCAAGUUUGGGCAAGUCCACAAACAAAUCAAAGCAGAUACCAUGCACACGUCCAAGCUGCAUGCUAAUUGUUUGGUACCGCGUCCCAACUAUAAUAACUACAGCAACCAUGCCAGGGCCAUGCCUCCACUCGAGGGACGCGUUCCCGGCUGUUCAGGUGCCCACGAUGGUGUCGUAUCUACAUGUGCUGCAGUUGAUGGCUACUCCUAAGCUAGACACGCUGACCCUCAUGAGGAUUUCAACCUCAUACUUGGGUGCGGACAGAAAUGAAGCCAUGUCUGCACUUGAGCUGGAAUGUCGCCAUCUGGCACUACCAUACAUUUCUGUUCCUUUGGGUUGCAUUGACACAGAGGUGUACGCCAUUGUUCCUGUUGCGGCAUUGAUUGAGCUCAAACCAUGGCCGGAUCCACAACCAAGCCAAUGCAGUAGCAGCGUGGUGACUAGCUCGCCACAUUUUGAUGUAUGGGUUUGUCGGUCGAUUCCAGAGUACCAUCGUAAUCAGGCUGAGGUAUAUAAUCCACUGCUGUAAUAGGAAAGAAAUGGAAUUAGUCCAGGGAGCACUUUUGCCAAGUAUGGUCACACGCUAGAUUUAGUCAGUUUCCUGCCAGGGGAUCCUGGUUUACUGGGGAUUGUCAUUCUUUGGGAUCCUGAAAUUCAACUCCUUAUUUCUGUUAAUUGCUCAUGCAUGGUUUGCUUGAGGGGGUGCACUGGCAAGGAAGAAGAUUAUAUGUUGCAGGAACCCAUAUAUUUAUUCAAGGCAAAUGCCAAUUUUACGUAUUACAUGGCGGCCUUACUAUUGCCAAUGAUGAGUUUUCUGCUAGAAUUAGUUCUGCUGCACUCUUUGUUGCACAAGAUUCAGUGAUCCAUCAUUCUUAUGCUCAGUGCAAGAGGGCACACUUUUUUGUUAGCAACUACCAUGCAAAGCAUCUUGCGAAGAUCUUGAUCCAUUUGGUUUGCUGUUUGCAACUGUGCACAUCGGCUUCUUUUGCAUCUUCCAGCAUCUAUGGGAAGGCGGAUAAUUUUGUAAGAUGACCACAGAUUCCUUUAAAUGGUUCACACCCUGUUUUCGUUGAUGAUGGUCGGCUUGCUGUUCUGCAACGAGUUGGCUCAGUCGCUGCAAAUUUUGUACUGCUGCAUAUUAUACUUUCAAGUUUCAACUACCUUGGAAGUGCAAAUGCUGAAGAUGCAACAAAUCAACUGGCAGCUAUCAGUUUACUUGUUCUGCUUCUUCUGAUUCACUGCCAAAGGUGUUGUUCAAUGAAUGAAUCCAUUACAACCAACAGUAUACAUGGUACCAAUGUCAAGGAUGCAACAGCUUUUCAUGGGAACCCUUACUGUAACUCCAAAGCGCUAGAAAAUACCAAGGACAUUCAAUUUGAUCAUGCUGAUGUUAAGGGAAAUACUCAUAAUGGACCUGUUGUCAGGUUGUCUUUUGCAUCGCUGUUUGAUGCUCUUGGAAACAUAUUAGAUAUAAGGAUUUUGAAGUUCACCGUGAUUUAUCGCGGUCUGGACUGUGUGCAGUUAGAUGAGAACUACAUGAAGCUUCCUAUGGACAAUAUUGCUCGACCUUUGCUAGUAUUAUGCUUCUCUCUUUCAGGGCAGCCUGAUUAUGAUAUACAUGUACCGUCAUCAUCAGGUAUGUUCACCAUGAGGUUGUCUUUCAAUGGAGGUGAUGGUGUGGGAUGGUAGCACUUGAGUGUUCUGGAGAUGGUUCAGCUGGGCGCUUCUCCGUUCAGUUCAGUGUCUUCCUUCAACCCAGCCGAACUGAAAUUCAUGAACAACCUCAAGAUACCAUAGGAACUGCAGUCAUGUGACACCACCUCCAAACUACUACACGGUUGCUCGUUUCGUUGUUGCCUCGGCUACAGGCAAAGGAAAGGGUGCAGCACUUGCACAGGUCAGAGGUUUGGCAUUGAGUUGGAAGGUUUAAACACUAUCAAGCACACAUAUGGGGUGGAUUGCAAUUUCUUUCAUCAGCUUGUGAUUAGCACUCAGAUCAUCUCUAAGCACAUGUUGCUACCAUAUGAUCCAGGUGAGGCGGCGCUUUAACUCGACGAGAUUACAGGCAUUCCCAAUUCAAGGUUGUUCAUCGGCCUGAGGGCAAGCCGAAUUUCAAGGGAGGGAGAGACGGAGAGUGUGACACCCUGACUGUGGGCUGUCACCAUAUGAUUUGUAACCUGGGCUUGGGCUACGUGAUGGGGCGUGUGUUGCUUUUGUGUUGGCUGGCUAGGAUCAGUAUAAAUACUAGACAUGUAACCCUGAUGUGGAGAGGUUGAAAAGGAAUGGAGUCUGAACUCCCUCGCCUCCUGUUCUCUGUUCCUCACCUUCCUGGUUCUGUGUUUUCUCAUCCCUUUUCAUUGAAUUCUCCCCAAUCUCUUCCUCAAUCGUGGUAAUCCACCGUAUCCCCCUGUUCGUUGUGCCUCCAUCCCGGGGACGUGACAGAC